rnacentral:rRNA from 1 species
AUUGAACGCUGGCGGCAGGCCUAACACAUGCACGUCGAACGAGUGGCGGACGGGUGAGUAAUGUCUGGGAAACUGCCCGAUGGAGGGGGAUAACUACUGGAAACGGUAGCUAAUACCGCAUCCCAUCGGAUGUGCCCAGAUGGGAUGAGCUAGGAGGUUGGGUAACGGCUCACCUAGGCGACCAUCCCUAGCUGGUCGGAGAGGAUGACCAGCCACACUGGAACUGAGACACGGUCCAUACUCCUACGGGAGGCAGCAGUGGGGAAUAUUGCACAAUGGGCGCAAGCCUGAUGCAGCCAUGCCGCGUGUAUGAAGAAGGCCUUCGGGUUGUAAAGUACUUUCAGCGAGGAGGCGUUACUCGCAGAAGAAGCACCGGCUAACUCCGUGCCAGCAGCCGCGGUAAUUC